UACUAAAAUAGCAGAACUGAAGCAUGUAAACAGCCUAGCAGAUGAAUUUUAGUGUGAAAUCUUCUUCCUGGAUGUUGUAAAUCUUAAAAAGUCACCAAGCUCCUCAAGUGACCAUGAUAGAAAUGUUUACUUUCGUUUUUCCUGUAGCGAUGCUCCAACAACCAGAUCCUGAAGAACUGGAGAAUCACGAUGCAGAGCGCAGAACUUCAGAAGUGCCCCGGGCAAGGCCACAAUGUGAGCAGAAGGGUUUGUCCAUUGAUAUGUGGCAUACACAAUGAUAAUAAAUGACUUUAUGGGAUUUACAGUUCAGUUCAUCUAAAUUUUAUGGACUCAUCCUUCAAAAAAAUUGCACCCCAUUAUUCUCAAAUGUUUUUCUUUCUUUUCUUUUGGGUAGUCUUGCUCACUGUUCGUCUGUCCCGCUGCGUGAUAGGUUCAAAUGGCCACGGUGAAAACAGCAUCAAAAUAACAGCUAGCGGGGGUUUAAGCCUUUGUAGCGUCGGAAGCGAAGGCCCCGCGAUUGCGGAGCUGCAGCAAAGGAGUUGACACGGCGAGAGACGAUCCCGAGACGAGGAAGAAGGGGGCAAGGGGGACUGUCUACGUGGGAAGAAAUAGGAAGCGGAUAAACGGACACAUGGAGGGCGAGAGAAAGCGACAGAGAGAGAAGCACAACACUCGUGAGCCUUGUACUCACUGCUUGUACGUGACCAUGACGAUGAGGAUGGCGGGGAUGCAGCAGAGGAUGAUGAUGAUGGCCAGAGCGAGGAGAGCCCCCUCCGUGUAGCCCACGGCUUGGGCGGCCUUCUUCACGCUCGCCACGAUGUCCGGCGAGCGGAUCUCCAAGAUUCGACCGCCCUCGCCCAGGAGAGGAUAACUCCCUUUCCUUCCUGACCCAACAUGGCUACCUCGAGUACACAUGGAGCGUUUUCCAAGAGAACAAAGGGAGAAAGAUGAGCUUGUGGCAGAGAUGGAUGGAUGGAUGGAUGGAUGGAUCUCCUUCCUUACCUUAUGAGUUGGUCCUUGUUCUCUUCAACCAAAGUAGGUGGGACGGUUGACACGAUAACUUGCAUGUCAAGAGCAUUGACCACAGACACCUGCCGGUGCAAGACCGAAAGGAAAGUCCCACCCUCGCCGUAGUCGUCGGUGGCGAUAACCUCGAAGCUGAAGUACGACCUGCGCAUGUUUCGAAACAUGAUGGCCGACUUGAUGACGCCGGUGUACGCCUCGAUGACGAAGCUGUCCUGGCCCUCCGCCG